CCGGACAUUUGUUAGUGAUGUACCAAUUCGCGAUAUAAACGAAUUACCCUAAAGAAACAAAUAAAAUAUGUGUAUAUUUAUAGUAACUGGCAUUUUUAUGUAUGUGUAUAUUACAUUGUGUCCGAAAGUCUAAAAUGUCUAUACAUGCCGAUUUAUCCACUUUUUAUUGAGGAACACAUAUGCUCUCUUUUGAUUGGUUGCUUUCUCUCGCGUUCUUUCUAGAGCUUGACGUGCAUUAUGGGUAACUCUAUAGGUGACAAUAAUGUAAGUUUAUUUAUAUUGUUUCUACAAUAAAAAGAUAGUAUUCGACGUUAUUUAAGUUAUAUAUGCAACCAGAACUAUAAGAACAAUGUUUAAAAAAUCCACACGAAAGUGGCUGUGAUUGUUGUUUUUCUCAUCGGUGAUAAUGGUUGAGCACAUGUUGUAUGUGGAAAUAUGCGUCUCAUUUAACAGAGAAAUUGUGUCUACUAGUUGUACACCUAUAUUAGCCAACAUUUGUAUUAGUUGCAAAUAUUAGCGUUAGUGAUUAUGAAAAAUACUGAUGUUUUAGAUGUUACUUUCCUAAUCGCAGUUUCAUGUACUGUGCGAGUGACCAACUGAUUAACACCGUCUGUGAGACACCUAGUGCCAGAAGAGACUCGAGCUGGGUUUGAUGUCAUUUUUGUCAUCGCUAUGAGACCCUACCGUCUGUGAGACACCUAGUGCCAGAAGAGACUCGAGCUGGGUUUGAUGUCUUUUUUUUUUUAUCGCUAUGAGACCCUACCGUCUGUGAGACACCUAGUGCCAGAAGAGACUCGAGCUGGGUUUGGUGAGUGAAGGUUAAGACUAUACUUUCAGGGAUCAUUUCUAUAGUUCUUAACUAGGAAAUGUACUAAGAUAGUGAUGAGUCUUCCAAACCACGAUGACGAAUUUUGAUACUUCUUUCUGAGCGUGAAUCGGGUGUAGAGUAAUGAUUCAGUUCAUAUGCUCUGCAUCAUUGAUGACCGUUCCUUACUGUUUAAUAUGGUUAGGAUGAAAGAAGUAUGAUCAGAGUGGU